GCAUAUCAAUAAGCGGAGGAAAAGAAACUAACAAGGAUUCCCCUAGUAACUGCGAGUGAAGCGGGAAAAGCUCAAAUUUAAAAUCUGGCGGUCUUUGGCCGUCCGAGUUGUAGUCUGGAGAAGUGCUUUCCGCGCUGGACCGUGUAUAAGUCUCUUGGAACAGAGCGUCAUAGAGGGUGAGAAUCCCGUCUUUGACACGGACUACCAGUGCUUUGUGAUGCGCUCUCAAAGAGUCGAGUUGUUUGGGAAUGCAGCUCAAAAUGGGUGGUGAAUUCCAUCUAAAGCUAAAUAUUGGCGAGAGACCGAUAGCGAACAAGUACCGUGAGGGAAAGAUGAAAAGCACUUUGGAAAGAGAGUUAAACAGUACGUGAAAUUGCUGAAAGGGAAACGCUUGAAGUCAGUCGCGUUUGCCGGAACUCAGCCUUCCUUUUGGUUGGUGCACUUUCCGGUAGACGGGCCAGCAUCGAUUUCGACCGUCGGAUAAGGGCUGGGGAAAUGUGGCACCUUUCGGGGUGUGUUAUAGUCCUCAGUCGCAUACGUCGGUUGGGAUCGAGGAUCGCAGCGCGCCGCAAGGCAGGGGUUCGCCCACUUUCGCGCUUAGGAUGCUGGCAUAAUGGCUUUAAACGACCCGUCUUGAAACACGGACCAAGGAGUCUAACAAACCUGCGAGUGUUUGGGUGGAAAACCCGAGCGCGUAAUGAAAGUGAAAGUUGAGACCUCUGUCGUGGAGGGCAUCGACGCCCGGACCUGAAGUUCUCUGACGGUUCCGCGGUAGAGCAUGUUUGUUGGGACCCGAAAGAUGGUGAACUAUGCCUGAAUAGGGUGAAGCCAGAGGAAACUCUGGUGGAGGCUCGUAGCGAUUCUGACGUGCAAAUCGAUCGUCAAAUUUGGGUAUAGGGGCGAAAGACUAAUAGAACCAUCUAGUAGCUGGUUCCUGCG
rnacentral:rRNA from 1 species